UGAGAAUUCGCCUCCCUUCCCAGGCUAUGAAAAGCCACUGGGCAGCGUGACCAUCCAGGAUUCUCUGGGAACCUUGAGACAGUGUUAUUUACCUAUCCUUCCCUCUCCAAGUUGCAGCUUUCCACACUCUUCUGCCUCCCCUGCACACACUUCCUUCUCUGCAUACACAAACACCAAUGUGGAGCUGUCCCUUCCUCUCUCCGGCUGUCCUUCCUCAUUGCUGACAUGGGCAGAGGCUGGGUGGUGCUCGGGAAUAAAAGGGCUUCUCCUUUGACCGGAUGAACCAGGGUUACGUUGGAGAUAAAAAUGGGAUCUCAGGCACCUGAGCAGGUGUUCUUCCCCUGUGCCUCCCGUCCACCCACCACCGUAUCGAGGGCAUGCUUUCCUGGAAAAUAACUCAAAGGCCACGACAAAGCUACAGACAUUUCUCUGCUGGAACGAGUCCCUUCCUGCCAGGCCCUGGACCCCAAGUCCUCUCUUCUGUCUUUCUCUGCUUUUCAGUGCUCUGGCUACUCCCACAGGCCAUCAGCUGGGCUUAUGAGUAACAUGAAGCACCCAUCCUCUGGUGUCCUGAGUGAGCAUGGGCCAGUGCCCCAGGUCCUGCCAAGAUUGUGCUUUCAUUACCAAACUGCCCAGAAUGUAUGAGGAUAAGGAUUUGGGUCUGAUGCACUUCAGGAACAAAGUGCAGAAUGAACGGCUCUGACGGUGUACUUCAGAGUCAGGCCCAGGAAGAAUUCAAAUUCCUCGUCCCCAAGUCGGCCAUCUUGGGCAAAGACCCCUCUCAGCCUCGGUGUUUUGUCUGAAAACUUCAGUGAGGAGCCCUUGGUUGUCUACGUGCCUCAGGACUGCCAUCAGUCACUAACACGUGUCUCUUUACACCCUCCACAGCCCUACAGGGUAGCCUAUAUUAUCACAUUCUUUUUUGAUUAGAAAACAAACACAGAGAAAUAUUAAACCAUUUGUCUCGGGUUUUCCAACAUGGCAGAGCCAAGAGUGACAUUGUAGUCUGUGGGCAUUCUCAGAUCUGCUUCUGAGGGUGGGACUUCCUUAAAGGGAUUUGGAGUUGGAAGUCUCAUGUUCCAAAGUACACACAGGGUUCCAGAACCUUCCAUGAAUUUCACCUUGCAGAAGGGGCCUACAGGAUUUAAGGAGGAGUCAUAUCAGAUCUACCAACUCUGUAGGUCCUUAUUAUACCGACUUCUGCUGUGCCUACCUUCCUUCUUCACCUGCUUGGCCUCCCCCUCUGUCUGGAACUUUCUCCAGC
rnacentral:lncRNA from 1 species